rnacentral:lncRNA from 1 species
UGCGACGAUUUUAUAUUUGCUCCUAAUUAGAUUUACAGGUAAGUUGAUACUUGUACAUGUACUGUACUAUACCAUUGAUAAAAUCUGGUUGUUCAUUUAUGUUUAAGUUAAUUUUGAUUCAUAAUGUUCUGGAACUUCGUUGUACAUGAUGGACAUAUUACACACUGAAACGAGCCGAGGAGUCAAUUCUUUAAUCAACGAGGGGCAUACAUAUCGGAAGGUUAGUGUCAUGAAACAUAACAACAUAUCUUUCAAUGUACCAUUAAUCGUGUAAAGCCAGAGUCACCACGAAUUCUAUUGUCAAAAUACUGAUCGAGCAUAAACAUGUGGCAGAUGUCCGAAAGACAGAGGUUAAAGAACUACGGGUACUGUCAAGGAAAAUGUCUGGAGGUGUAUCUUGUAGGCCUUCUUUCAUCUCCCCAUAGUGAGCAGGGGACAACAGUUAUAUAAAUGUUAUGAUUGACAAUUCAUUACAUUUGUACAAAUGGCUAAUAGAAGAGGUCUAAAAUGAUAAAUGAAAAUUAACAUGACUUGGAUUGAGAGUUCUCUUAUUUGCACUCAUACCACAUCUUCUUAUAUCUAUUCACCUGUAAUUUACCUGUAAAAAAAUCGGCGCAAAUGAAAGAAAAAAUCGGCGCAAUUGAAA